rnacentral:lncRNA from 1 species
GAGCUUCUUCGACAUCUGCAAUUGCUUAUGAAAAUGAGCCGAAGAUCUGCGUAAUAGUGCUGCGAUCAAAUGAAAAGAACAUUAACAGUUCCAACAGAUAGAACCAAAUACAAAAACCUACGUGUUAGCUGCAAUAAAUCAAAAGGUUCCAUGGUGAUAACAGUCGGUAUUGCACAGGGUAAAUAUAAACAUCUGAAUUAUCUUUGACCUAUGUUGUCAGUCUUUCAUAGAUGUAAAACAAUUUCUUGAGAAAAUCAAAUAUAUCUAGAACAAAGUUUAAAGGUAUCAUGAUAAAGUCAUACUCCCUUCAUCCCAAUUGACGUGGCACACGCGUUUCAAAUUACAAGUUUGACCAUCAAUUUAACCGACUAAACAUUAGUUAUCUGUCACAAAAUGUGAAUCACCAAAACUGUAUCCAGAAAAAGUUUUCAAUGGUAUGAUUAUUAUGACACAUACUCUCUCCAUAUCAAAAUAUAAGACAUUUUUGUAGGCUAGUUUAGCCUAUAAAGUCUUAUAUUUUGGUACAGAGGUAGUAUUAUUGAUGAAAUUAGUGGUCACAGUUAAAUCACGAAACGUGAGGACGCCGUGUAAAUGGGGAUGGUGGGAGUAUUACUCGAGAAUCCUACAGAUUAGUUCUUUUUCUUCUUUCAGAUACGAAUCGGACAUGGACAAGUUUGAAAUCGAUACUCCCCAUCUAACCAGUACUAAGAUCUGGUAAAACCUAUGAGAUCAACCAUGUACAUGAUGCAUCACCCCUCCAAAUUAAUCAAUGGAUGGCAAAUAUACAAACAGAAAUACUAGCUAACAAAUACAAUCUAGAUCACCCGCAAUGCAACUGGUGGUCUCUACAAGAGAACGGGGCCAAAAUUUCCAUGUACAAGGUAGACUGAUCAGUGUGUGUCAACAUCGUUGGAUCCACUUGGAUGGAAAACAGAGCAAGAACCCAUAUAAUAUCUUAUAAGGGACAUGUACACUUAGAUCACCUUGAUUUCCAGAAAAGAUGGCACUACAAAAAUAUUAAGCAGAAAAAUAGCCAAGAUAAUUGACUAGAUCUUGAGAAGAUCAGUACCACCAAAUGCUGGAUCUGUGAUGCAUUGAGCAAAUAAGUAGUAGUAUGUGAGAAAAUGGAGUAAAAGGGAGACUCACCGUGCACUGUUCAAGCUGCAACUCACUGGUAUUCCUCCUGCGCUUUUGACUCUUCUUUGGACUAGUCUCCUGUUACUAAACAAACUCUACACAAUUAGCACUCCCAGAAGUAGAGGUUCCUACAUAGAUAAUUCCUCACUUUACAAUCAGUUUGUGUCUCCAAUGGCACAUGUUUCAUGCAGGUAGCAUAUCAAGAAUCUAGAUGUUUAUGCCUUUUAGCAACAAAAAGGAAAAAUAAAGCGGCACACAAUGAAAUAUGAUUCUUGGUCUAUAAAGGACUAGAAUAUUGUGUAUGCAUAUCAGUAAAACAGCCAAUGAUCACAUGUCU